rnacentral:ncRNA from 2 species
AUCUUUUCCAGACAUAAAGGUGCCUAUGGGUUUUUGUGGAAAAUCCCCUGGGUUAAAAGGAAAGGCGGUGCAAGUCCGCCACAUGCCAGCCGUUGCCGUGACCGGGGACGAAAGCUGCACAAAAUGCCACUCUUUUUUAAAGGGGAAGGCGCAGUGAAUAGGAUAAUCCGUCAGUCGGAAAGCCUGCCUUGAUGCACAUUGUGAA